rnacentral:rRNA from 1 species
UAACGGCUGAACCAGCAACUUGGAAGAAUAGGAUUUAUAACUUGAAAACAAGUAAAUAAAUUCGGUAAAUUCUGAAUAGUAAAGGAUAAUGACAUUUACUAUUUAUAAGUCUUGACCAAAUUACGUGCCAGCAGUCGCGGUAAUACGUAGAAGACUAGUGUUAGUCAUCUUUAUUAGGUUUAAAGGGUACCUAGACGGUAAAUUAAACCCUAAAAGGGUACUUUUUUGCUAGAGUUUUAUAAGAGAAGGGAGAAUUUUUGGAGUAGAGAUAAAAUUCUUUGAUACCAAAAGGACUGGUAACGGCGAAAGCACCCUCCUAUGUAAAAACUGACGUUGAGGGACGAAGGCUUGGGGAGCGAGAAGGAUUAGAUACCCUAGUAGUCCAAGCAGACAAUUAUGAAUGCCAUAGGCUAGAUAUUAAAAUUUAGCAUAUAAAUGAAAGUGCAAGCAUUCCACCUUAAGAGUAAGAUGGCAACAUUGAAACUGAAAUCAUUAGACCGUUUCUGAAACCAGUAGUGACGU